rnacentral:lncRNA from 1 species
AUGGCGGCUGUGAYGCCAGGCCCAGGGAUGGGGAUUGUGCUGCUGGUUGGAGGUGGAAGGGUCUCUGCUAGGAGGGGGCUGGCAAGGGUUUCCAGCAGCCAGGCCUUGCAGGCAGCCCACCCGCCAGCCCCGGCCUGGGGCGUCCGCGUCCCUGCAGCCUGGGGCCUGUGCAGACGCUGUGCCACACGAUGGUGCUGUCCUCCACCCAACCGCAUGGGCAUGCCGCCAUCCCUGCACCCCGCCACCCGCCGCUCGCUCCCUCCCUCCUGUGCCUGGGGAGCCUGUCCCACAGCCCCGACCUCUUCUUGCAGCCUCCUGGGGCCAGGCCKGGGGCUCGGCCAUCCCAGCGCGCUGCCAGCCCCGCAGCGAGCGCCCGAACCCGGCCAGCUGUGCUGCAAUGGAAGCAAGGAUGCCUCAAGCUAUUCGCCGUGCUCAUGGAAAACAGGUUAUUCCCUGCUGGAGCGCCCUUUUAUGUCUCUUAGUUCAUUCCCCACCAGGGCUAGGGUGGCUGCUGGAGGAAUGAGCAGCAUCUCUUGGGAGUUUUCUGCUUCCCGUUCUCAUCCCCCUGCAAUGGUGCUGUUCCCCCACAGCCCAUCCAAGCCGUGCGGAGCUGGUGGGAGCUCCCAGCUCCUCUCCCCUCUGUGGACAGCACUGGGGCGACCCCAGGCCAGGCCGGCUCCCCUCCAGCUGCACCCUGCUCCCCGCCAGCUUUUGUGGCUGCACUCAACGUUGCGUGUCUCUUCGCCUCCUGCCUUCCUGCAGUGGGGCACAUCCCCCAUCUCCGUUAGACCCUCAUGCUUUGUAGCAUGGAGGGAGGUUUCCAUAUCCUUUUCUCAGUCYAGMARCUGGGCUUAUAGGAGCCCACAGAGCAGGGUCAACCUUAUCGCAGCCCUCCUCCUUCUAGCCCYGUGCCACUGCAGGGAGUUCAACCAGGCUGCUCCCACGCGCAGGGGAGCCCCAGGCCCCGUUAAUGUCCAUGAGGACGUUAGCCAACGUGUUAGUGUUUCGGGGUCUUUGCUAUCCUCUUGGGCGAGGGCUGACACCAGGCACUGA